UACGUAGGGGGCAAGCGUUGUCCGGAUUUAUUGGGCGUAAAGAGCGUGUAGGCGGCUUUACAGGUCCGUUGUGAAAACUCGAGGCUCAACCUCGAGACGCCGGUGGAAACCGUAAAGCUAGAGUCCGGAAGAGGAGAGUGGAAUUCCUGGUGUAGCGGUGAAAUGCGCAGAUAUCAGGAGGAACACCCGUGGCGAAAGCGGCUCUCUGGGACGGUACUGACGCUGAGACGCGGAAGCGUGGGGAGCAAACAGG
rnacentral:rRNA from 1 species